rnacentral:rRNA from 1 species
AACAUGCAGUCGAGCGAACUUUUGGGAGCUUGCUCCCAAAAGUUAGCGGCGGACGGGUGAGUAACACGUGGGCAACCUGCCUAUAAGACUGGGAUAACUUCGGGAAACCGGAGCUAAUACCGGAUAACAUAUGAGACCACAUGGUCUCAUAUUAAAAGAUGGCUUUUAGCUAUCACUUAUAGAUGGGCCCGCGGCGCAUUAGCUAGUUGGUGAGGUAAUGGCUCACCAAGGCGACGAUGCGUAGCCGACCUGAGAGGGUGAUCGGCCACACUGGGACUGAGACACGGCCCAGACUCCUACGGGAGGCAGCAGUAGGGAAUCUUCCGCAAUGGACGAAAGUCUGACGGAGCAACGCCGCGUGAGCGAAGAAGGUCUUCGGAUCGUAAAGCUCUGUUGUUAGGGAAGAACAAGUACCGUUCGAAUAGGGCGGUACCUUGACGGUACCUAACCAGAAAGCCACGGCUAACUACGUGCCAGCAGCCGCGGUAAUACGUAGGUGGCAAGCGUUAUCCGGAAUUAUUGGGCGUAAAGCGCGCGCAGGCGGUCCUUUAAGUCUGAUGUGAAAGCCCACGGCUCAACCGUGGAGGGUCAUUGGAAACUGGGGGACUUGAGUGCAGAAGAGGAGAGCGGAAUUCCACGUGUAGCGGUGAAAUGCGUAGAGAUGUGGAGGAACACCAGUGGCGAAGGCGGCUCUCUGGUCUGUAACUGACGCUGAGGCGCGAAAGCGUGGGGAGCGAACAGGAUUAGAUACCCUGGUAGUCCACGCCGUAAACGAUGAGUGCUAAGUGUUAGAGGGUUUCCGCCCUUUAGUGCUGCAGCAAACGCAUUAAGCACUCCGCCUGGGGAGUACGGUCGCAAGACUGAAACUCAAAGGAAUUGACGGGGGCCCGCACAAGCGGUGGAGCAUGUGGUUUAAUUCGAAGCAACGCGAAGAACCUUACCAGGUCUUGACAUCCCGUGACAACUCUAGAGAUAGGGCUUUCCCCUUCGGGGGACACGGUGACAGGUGGUGCAUGGUUGUCGUCACCUCGUGUCGUGAGAUGUUGGGUUAAGUCCCGCAACGAGCGCAACCCUUGAUCUUAGUUGCCAGCAUUCAGUUGGGCACUCUAAGGUGACUGGCGGUGACAAACCGAGGAA